CAGCCGCCGCGGUAAUACGAAGGGUGCAAGCGUUACUCGGAAUUACUGGGCGUAAAGCGUGCGUAGGUGGUGGUUUAAGUCCGUUGUGAAAGCCCUGGGCUUAACCUGGGAAUUGCAGUGGAUACUGGGUCACUAGAGUGUGGUAGAGGAUAGUGGAAUUUCCGGUGUAGCAGUGAAAUGCGUAGAGAUCGGAAGGAACAUCUGUGGCGAAGGCGACUAUCUGGGCCAACACUGACACUGAGGCACGAAAGCGUGGGGAGCAAACAGGAUUAGAUACCCCAGUAGUACUGUCUCUUAUACA
rnacentral:rRNA from 1 species